rnacentral:rRNA from 1 species
AAUCCCGAGUAGCAUGGGGCACGUGAAAUCCCGUGUGAAUCAGCGAG